rnacentral:lncRNA from 1 species
GACGUUUUGUGCUAAUUAGCCACGAAAAUUUUCCACUCAGAACAACCUAGGAUUUGCUUGAAGGAAACGUUGGUUCCUCUCUUUAACAUCCCAAAUUAAAAUUCUCGCAAUUCACCUCGCCAAUACAGAAAUCUUGAAUCAAGUCAAUUUUUUCUCAAGAACUUUAGAUGGGAUUUAGAUUCUUGAUCAAUUUCAAUCCAAUUCAAAAAGUCUCCAAAAUCUCAUCGUCCUACUCUUACAAGUUACAAGAAUUUAAACAAUCCAACUGCUGCAAUUCUUGCUCUCAAUUCUGAGUUAUGUGGGAAUUCUAAAGACAGCCCGAAUUUCAAGGUUCACAAACGGAGUUCAUUUGGGGUUUUUAAACCUAUUUCUUCAAUUGGGAUUUGGUCAGAAGCAGAGCAUUCCUCGUUGGAAUUGGCACCUGCCCUUGAUAUUUUUCUCCAUUGCUUAUCAACCAUGCUUAAGAGAGGGUUGAUUCAAAUCCUAAUUUCCAGCUAUAGUUGAUGCAAAUCCUAAGAAGUGAAGACUAUGGCAUAAAUUUAUGUCUUUUACUAGGUAGGAUGUUGUUUGUGACUGGAAUUGUAGGAAAAAGUACUAUGUUUUGUGUUUUGAAUGUGUAGUCUGUAGUUCAUUAUUGAUGUUUGGUAGUUGUUGGUGAUGUCGUUAAGCUGAUGGUGUUGUGCAAGUGUUGAUGGUUGUGGAAUGAUCAAAGGAAACCGUAUGUCUUGCAGUGUUUAAUUAAAUGGUUCCUGUUCUUGUUUAAUUAAUAAGUUGGCGUUGAUAUA